rnacentral:lncRNA from 1 species
AUUAUAUGCACGCAGCAGAAGAGGAAAGAAGUACCGCUGACAGGAAGACCUAGGGUCUUUUUUAGCCAGAGGUCUCUAUAGACAUGCCAUCAAUAGUAAUGGCAACCGCAGUGUAUCAUCGUGACGAUGUGCUUAAUCAGGGCUCAGGUGUUGAGGAUGUAGACUUGGGAGAGCCCCUUGUUGGUGUGCUUAAGGCAUCCUGGUUUCAGUCAGGUCAGGUCCCCUCACCUAAUACUGGCCUGAGGCCCAAGACCAAGAUACAAGGACUGAGGCUGAAUGGUGGAUAAAGAUUGCGAAUUUGCACAGCUAUAAAGCUUACUAAUUAAAGACUACAAACACAAAGAGAGCAAGCCUUGUGAUGACUGCACAAUAACGAGGAUUCAGAUACAACGUGGUCGCCACCUGACGCCCACCUCCACAAAAAGCCAUUCUCAAAAGGAGAGAGACAUUCAUAUCCAGAAGAGGGAGUCGGCUGUAGGGUAGAGCACUUCAAAUGCAUCAAAGGUCCAGAGAGAAGCUUCUUCUGGUCACCUUGAUCUUGUGAUGCAAGGCAGGUGGGAGCAAGGGCUCCACCU